UAAGCACCAUCACAACCUGGAUGUGUUUUUCAGGCUCCUCCAAGAGAGAAUGGGGGAAUUGCUCUAUGAUGUUCCAAAGGUUGGGUUUUCACCCAUUAAAAUGAUACGUGAGCUCGCUUUAGAACAUUGCGAGAUAAUUC
rnacentral:rRNA from 1 species